AAAUAAAUUUGAAUUUAUGAUGAUGAGCAGGCUAACCUCCGUCGCCAAAACCUAUAACCUAAACCCAAACACCACGACGGCGGUGGGCGUCCGCCUUCUCUCCACCAAAUCCGGCGAGGAGGAGUGGAAUGACGCUCCGGAAAUUUCCUGGCUUCCAUACAAUCUCCCUGGCAAAUCUCUCCCCGAAAAUCCCCAAACUGCAAUCUCCUCCUCUCCGCCGGAGACCAAGGCUUUCGUGGAGGAAAUGAACGAUAAUUGGGAGCAGAGGAAGGGAAAAUCGGUGAAGAAGGAUUCUGAUCGGCUGACGAAGCAGAGAAUCCACGCCCGCCUGUGGGCGAAGGAGAUUGAGAAACUGGAGGAGGCUAAAUUGGGGAAUUUCUCCGACGAUAAUGAUUUGGGAAGUUCCACAUUCAAUUGGUGGCUGGGAAACAAAUAAUGUAGAGAGAGGGAAGAAGACAUGUUGGUUGAAGAGUUUGAGCAUCGCAUUGCCUUGAAUAAGUUUCAGAUUGAAAGCUUCAUAAAAACACACAUCUACAUGGAUGGAAAUACAUGAUCCAAGUUAUACGCCCUAAUGCAAACAAAAUAACUCAGGUAAAAAAACUGUAAUUAUAUUUUCAUAAAAUAAAUUAAGAAAUCAGUGCUUGUAACAACUAGGAGUAAUAGUAAUCCAUCCUAUUUUGGGUCAAAACAUGCAAUGCAUGUGUUGUUGGAUCAUCCGUGCAUCAUUGCGGCUGUGGGGUCGUGCGCCUAGCCAUGGGGCCGCACUGUGCACUCUUUGCCGCAAUAAUGUAUCGGCUUCUAUCUGUCGAAUAAUUAAGACAAUGUUAGUCCUUUGUUUAGGGCUACAUGCUUGGUCUAUAUAUUAGAUCUAUGUAGUAAUUAAUUUGGAUUUGUAUAUGAGUCUUAAUCAAUGGAUUUGUA